UGUAUCUGAAGUCUGACGAGGAUGAGAACCUCCGGGGGCAAGAGGUUCGACUCGAGCGAAGCGAGAGAACGUUGCGU
rnacentral:sRNA from 7 species